rnacentral:lncRNA from 1 species
GCCAGGACUAUGAAAAUUGAGAGGUUUAUAUUCUCUUUUUGGUUUGGGGGGAUGGAAGAAAAAGAAGGAAUUAAAAUUCUGAGUCUCAGUUUAGCCUAAAAUGGAAAAAAAAAAUCAUAAUUAUUUCAUUCCUGGCUCAGGAGGCUAGCUGAUUCAUUGUGAUGCAAUCUGCAGCAAAUAUUUGGACCUCUGAGAACUUGAAAACCCACUAGUAUUUGUAAACUUUUUCAUAGCUCAGGACUUGUGGAUUUUGUAAUUACUGCUGAGAUCUCUGGUCGAAUUUGUACAUUCUGCUAGACAAACUGCUUUGAAGCUCUAAUUUCCUUAAAACUUACUAAAAUAGAAAUUGAGACAACUGUACAUAAGAUCUGGUACUGAUGCCACCUGUGUAAAUUUUAUGGCCAAGUUUGAAUACAAUGAAAUGAAUCUCUGAUUUAUUCUCAGACUUGUGAAAUAAUAGCCAGACAUUUAAUUGCACAAUCUUUGCAGCAAUUAAUUAUUUCAUCAUAUCGUGCUAUAAUCAAGAAGGAAGUCAGGGAAGGAAGGCUGUUGUAUUUUUUGUUAUACUUGGAAAUGCUGCAAUUAGUGGAGACAGAGGCUCAUGAAUAAAUAAAACUUUACUGAUGGUCUCUCAUAUAUACAUAUUUAUGAUUUGAAGGAAGCAAUUGAUUUAGACACAAGUGAAAGUCUGUUAUGAGGACUUCUGAAAUAUCUGCAGUGAACUUCCAGCUUUAUUCUAAAGCACAAAGUGAUUAAUCACAAUUUACAUGUUGUAAUGUUUUUAUUACAAACACUUGGCUACAUCUCAGUAACUUCAUCUAAAUAAACACUUUUAUCCUUUGUGUGGUGACUUUUCAAAGAGAGACAGAAAGAGAGACACUCAGUUUACUGAAGAAAAGUUGUGCAUGUAGGUGGUGGCUCCUGUGACGAUAACCUGUGACCGUACCCCCUCCAGUGAGCUGUGGUGGAUGGUCAUGUUCCCAGUGACAUCCCAAAUGCCAGGACGUUUGCAUUCAGGAGGCUUUGGACCUGAUAACAGUGCCAUACAGCUCCCCUUCCACCAGGCAUU